ACCGUGGAGGCAGAGACUAGAGUGAUGCAGCUGUGGACAAGGAAUGACAGGGAUUUCUGGUCAACACCCCAAGAGAGAAAGAGAAAAGGACCCUCUAUCACAACCUUCAGAAGCUGCCAGCCCCUCAUAAAACAAACCACAAAGUCCUCCAGAGGAGAACUCUCACCGCAGCCUGUGCAGAGGGAAGGAUCGGAUACUCCGGCUCCCGACUUCAUCCCCUGAACAUCACUUUUCUCUCAGGCAACUCUGCAUCCUCCCAUAAGCCCAUUAUACAUCUGCUCCCACUCUGACACUAAAGAGCCACCCUCCCCCUGUUUGCCUGAGGAUAAGAGCACCUUGCUGAUUUUAAAAGAAAGGAAAAACUAAGGGCCUGCAGAUGGGAUUCACUACAAAGGAGCAUAAUAAAACUUUUUUAUCCUGA